rnacentral:rRNA from 1 species
AGAGCGAACGCUGGCGGCAGGCUUAACACAUGCAAGUCGAGCGGGCGUAGCAAUACGUCAGCGGCAGACGGGUGAGUAACGCGUGGGAACGUACCUUUUGGUUCGGAACAACACAGGGAAACUUGUGCUAAUACCGGAUAAGCCCUUACGGGGAAAGAUUUAUCGCCGAAAGAUCGGCCCGCGUCUGAUUAGCUAGUUGGUGAGGUAACGGCUCACCAAGGCGACGAUCAGUAGCUGGUCUGAGAGGAUGAUCAGCCACAUUGGGACUGAGACACGGCCCAAACUCCUACGGGAGGCAGCAGUGGGGAAUAUUGGACAAUGGGCGCAAGCCUGAUCCAGCCAUGCCGCGUGAGUGAUGAAGGCCCUAGGGUUGUAAAGCUACUUUUGUGCGGGAAGAUAAUGACGGUACCGCAAGAAUAAGCCCCGGCUAACUUCGCGCCAGCCAGCCGC